rnacentral:lncRNA from 1 species
UUCAGUAACUGUCAACCAUGUAUUGGUUUGAAGAAAGAUCUACAGCUUUCAAAAAUAAUAAUAAACACAAACUGAAUUUCUAUUUCAAUAAAAUUUUAUAUAGUUAUGGAAUGAACUAUGAAACGCCAAAUGCAAGAAUCUGAUAUCACCGAAGACCAUCAGAAUCUGAUAUCACCGAAGACCAUCAAUACAGCAUCAUUCCAGUAAUUCAAUACCUGUAUUUUUUUCCUUUUAAUAUUUACUCUAGAUGUGUUUGUGAAGCUUAUGUGGAAAGUUGGUGAUAUGAGCAGCAAAACUAUGCACGAUGGAAUAUGUUGCCAAUGACUGGAGCAGCAGUUGAGUGAGACCAAUUAUUUCAAGACCAUCAGCAGGUAACGAGUGAAGUAAUUACAAUGAAGCAUUUGAGUGAAGUAAUUAUGAUGAACAAAUAGAUAGUCAAAGCACUGACAGCAUGUGCAUUGACAACCAUGCAACAUGAAGACAGAAUGACAAAGGGGCAGAAUAUUCUGGCUAGGUCUAAAAAGAGCUGCAAAACAAGAUUAUAAAAAAGGAAUGGGGGAGAAAUAGAAAAAUUGCUUGAAGCAUGCUAACAAA